rnacentral:rRNA from 1 species
UACGUAGGGGGCAAGCGUUGUCCGGAAUCAUUGGGCGUAAAGAGCGUGUAGGCGGCCAGAAAAGUCCGCUGUGAAAACUCGAGGCUCAACUUCGAGCUGUCGGUGGAAACUUUCUGGCUAGAGUCCGGAAGAGGAGAAUGGAAUUCCUGGUGUAGCGGUGGAAUGCGCAGAUAUCAGGAAGAACACCGACGGCGAAGGCAGCUCGCUGGGACGGUACUGACGCUGAGACGCGAAAGCGUGGGGAGCAAACAGG